GACGAACGCUGGCGGCGUGCUUAACACAUGCAAGUCGAACGGAAAGGCCCUGCUAUUGUGGGGUGCUCGAGUGGCGCACGGGUGCGUAACACUUGAGUAUCCUGCCCUUGACUUUGAGAUAACUUCAGGAAACUGGGGCUCAUACCGGUUCGGAGCUCCUGCUGCAUGGUGGGGGUUAGAAAGUUUGGGCGGUUGGGGAUGGACUCGCGGCUUAGCAGCUUGUUGGUGAGGUAGUGGCUUACCAGGGCUUUAACGGGUAGCCGGCCCGAGAGGGUGACCGGCCACAUUGGGAAUGAGAUACGGCAGAGAGUCCUGCGGGAGGCAGCAGUGGGGAAGAUUGCACAAUGGGGCGAAGCCUGAUGCAGCAACGCCGCGUGCGGGAUGACGGCCUUCGGGUUGUAAACCGCUUUCGCCUGUGACGAAGCGUGAGUGACGGUAAUGGGUAAAGAAGCACCGGCUAACUACGUG
rnacentral:rRNA from 1 species